rnacentral:lncRNA from 1 species
AUGGACACCCUAAAACCUGCAGAUCACACAGAGCUUACUAAGGAGUCAUUAAACUCUCUGGUGGUUCUCAGACCCUACUUGGAGUCGGAGGUUCAAGUGCCAAGCUGGCUUCCUGUGCCUGCAAUGGUGACAUCGCAAGCCUGCGUGUGCCCCCUUAGAUUUGGAGGUGCCAGUCAUCAUCAGCUGGCUUCCUGUGCCUGCAAUGGUGACAUCGCAAGCCUGCGUGUGCCCCCUUAG